rnacentral:misc_RNA from 1 species
GACAGAGGGUGCAAACGUUGUUCGGAAUUACUGGGCGUAAAGCGUGUGUAGGCGGCUAGGUAAGUCGGAUGUGAAAGCCCCGGGCUCAACCCGGGAAGUGCACUCGAUACUGCUUAGCUCGAGUACCGGAGAGGUUGGUGGAAUUCUCGGUGUAGAGGUGAAAUUCGUAGAUAUCGAGAGGAACACCGGUGGCGAAGGCGGCCAUCUGGCCUAAUACUGACGCUGAGGUACGAAAGCAUGGGGAGCAAACAGG